CAGCCCCGGGAUUCCCAGCUGUCUCCACUUGGUCAUGAACACUGAACACAAAAGACGCACCAUGGAGUUUGUGCUGACUUUGGUUUUCCUUGUUGCUAUUUUAAAAGGUGUCCAGUGUGAAGUACAGCUGGUAGAGUCUGGGGGAGGCUUGGUAAAGCCUGGGGGCGGUCUCUGAGACUCUCUUGUGUAGCCUCUGGGUUCACCUUCAGUAGCUAUGCUAUGCACUGGGUCCGCCAGGCUCCAGGAAAGGGUCUGGAGUGGGUCUCAGUUAUUAGUACAAGUGGUGGUACCACAUACUACGCAGACUCUGUGAAGGGCCGAUUCACCAUCUCCAGAGACAACGCCAAGAGCUCACUGUUUCUGCAAAUGAACAGCCUGAGAGCCGAGGACAUGGCUGUGUAUUACUGUACAAGAGACAUAGUGAGGAGAAGAGGACACAUCCACACCCUGCAGAAGCCUGAGCGUCACUUUGGGGGCAGAGAUGACCCUGCCUUGAUCACACUGUGGUUACUACUGGGGCUGGAUGCUUCCAGCCCCAGGAAAGGAGCUGGAGUGGUUGGGUAUAUCCAUGGUAGUAGUGGGAACACCUACUACAACCCCCUCCCUCAGAGAGUCAGUCACCAUUUCAAAGACACGUCCAACAACCAGUUCUCCCUGAAGCUGAGCUCUGUGACCGCCGCGGACACGGCUGUGUGCAAUGAGAUACACAGUGAGGGGAGUAUGCCACAGAAAACCACAUCAACAUUACUCUAUGUCUAUAACUUUCUAAAUUUGCACUGA